GAUGAACGCUGGCGGCGUGCCUAAUACAUGCAAGUCGAGCGAACAGACGAGGAGCUUGCUCCUCUGACGUUAGCGGCGGACGGGUGAGUAACACGUGGAUAACCUACCUAUAAGACUGGGAUAACUUCGGGAAACCGGAGCUAAUACCGGAUAAUAUACUGAACCGCAUGGUUCAAUAGUGAAAGACGGCUUUGCUGUCACUUAUAGAUGGAUCCGCGCCGCAUUAGCUAGUUGGUAAGGUAACGGCUUACCAAGGCAACGAUGCGUAGCCGACCUGAGAGGGUGAUCGGCCACACUGGAACUGAGACACGGUCCAGACUCCUACGGGAGGCAGCAGUAGGGAAUCUUACGCAAUGGGCGAAAGCUUGACGGAGCAACGCCGCGUGAGUGAUGAAGGUCUUCGGAUCGUAAAGCUCUGUUAUUAGGGAAGAACAAAUGUGUAAGUAACUAUGCACGUCUUGACGGUACCUAAUCAGAAAGCCACGGCUAACUACGUG
rnacentral:rRNA from 1 species